rnacentral:rRNA from 1 species
UAGGGAAUCUUCGGCAAUGGACGAAAGUCUGACCGAGCAACGCCGCGUGAGUGAAGAAGGUUUUCGGAUCGUAAAACUCUGUUGUUAGAGAAGAACAAGGACGUUAGUAACUGAACGUCCCCUGACGGUAUCUAACCAGAAAGCCACGGCUAACUACGUGCCAGCAGCCGCGGUAAUACGUAGGUGGCAAGCGUUGUCCGGAGUUAUUGGGCGUAAAGCGAGCGCAGGCGGUUUCUUAAGUCUGAUGUGAAAGCCCCCGGCUCAACCGGGGAGGGUCAUUGGAAACUGGGAGGCUUGAGUGCAGAAGAGGAGAGUGGAAUUCCCUGUGUAACGGUGAAAUGCGUAGAUAUAUGGAGGAACACCAGUGGCGAAGGCGGCUCUCUCGUCUGUAACUAACGCUGAGGCUCGAAAGCGUGGGGAGCAAACAGG